AUUGAACGCUGGCGGCAGGCCUAACACAUGCAAGUCGAACGAGUGGCGGACGGGUGAGUAAUGUCUGGGAAACUGCCCGAUGGAGGGGGAUAACUACUGGAAACGGUAGCUAAUACCGCAUACCAUCGGAUGUGCCCAGAUGGGAUUAGCUAGUAGGUGGGGUAACGGCUCACCUAGGCGACGAUCCCUCGCUGGUCUGAGAGGAGGACCAGCCACACGGGAAAUGAGACACGGUCCAGACUCCUACGGGAGGCAGCAGUGGGGAAGAGUGCACAAUGGGCGAAAGCCUGAUGCAGCCAUGCCGCGUGUAUGAAGAAGGCCUUAGGGUUGUAAAGUACUUUCAGCGGGGAGGCGUUACUCGCAGAAGAAGCACCGGCUAACUCCGUGCCAGCAGCCGCGGUAAUAC
rnacentral:rRNA from 1 species